GCCUUUAACUCGGGGAUAGGCUUUCGAAAGAAAGAUUAAUACCCGAUGGCAUAAUAUUUCCGCAUGGGAAUAUUAUUAAAGAAUUUCGGUAAAAGAUGGGGAUGCGUUCCAUUAGGCAGUUGGCGGGGUAACGGCCCACCAAACCUUCGAUGGAUAGGGGUUCUGAGAGGAAGGUCCCCCACAUUGGAACUGAGACACGGUCCAAACUCCUACGGGAGGCAGCAGUGAGGAAUAUUGGUCAAUGGGCGAGAGCCUGAACCAGCCAAGUAGCGUGAAGGAUGACUGCCCUAUGGGUUGUAAACUUCUUUUAUAGGGGAAUAAAGUGAGCCACGUGUGGCUUUUUGUAUGUACCCUAUGAAUAAGGAUCGGCUAACUCCGUGCCAGCAGCCGCGGUAAUACGGAGGAUCCGAGCGUUAUCCGGAUUUAUUGGGUUUAAAGGGAGCGUAGGUGGACAUGUAAGUCAGUUGUGAAAGUUUGCGGCUCAACCGUAAAAUUGCAGUUGAUACUGUGUGUCUUGAGUACAGUAGAGGUGGGCGGAAUUCGUGGUGUAGCGGUGAAAUGCUUAGAUAUCACGAAGAACUCCGAUUGCGAAGGCAGCUCACUGGACUGUUACUGACACUGAGGCUCGAAAGUGUGGGUAUCAAACAGGAUUAGAUACCCUGGUAGUCCACACAGUAAACGAUGAAUACUCGCUGUUUGCGAUAUACAGCAAGCGGCCAAGCGAAAGCAUUAAGUAUUCCACCUGGGGAGUA
rnacentral:rRNA from 1 species